rnacentral:rRNA from 1 species
GAUGAACGCUGGCGGCGUGCCUAAUACAUGCAAGUCGAGCGAACAGACGAGGAGCUUGCUCCUCUGACGUUAGCGGCGGACGGGUGAGUAACACGUGGAUAACCUACCUAUAAGACUGGGAUAACUUCGGGAAACCGGAGCUAAUACCGGAUAAUAUAUUGAACCGCAUGGUUCAAUAGUGAAAGACGGUGUUGCUGUCACUUAUAGAUGGAUCCGCGCCGCAUUAGCUAGUUGGUAAGGUAACGGCUUACCAAGGCAACGAUGCGUAGCCGACCUGAGAGGCUGAUCGGCCACACUGGAACUGAGACACGGUCCAGACUCCUACGGGAGGCAGCAGUAGGGAAUCUUCCGCAAUGGGCGAAAGCUUGACGGAGCAACGCCGCGUGAGUGAUGAAGGUCUUCGGAUCGUAAAACUCUGUUAUUAGGGAAGAACAAAUGUGUAAGUAACUAUGCACGUCUUGACGGUACCUAAUCAGAAAGCCACGGCUAACUACGUG